CUUAGCAGCAUAUGUUUAUUCCUUUUGCUUUCUCACUACAAUUUCUAUUGCUAAGUCGAAUUAGUCGCAUUUUCGGCUGUGCAGAGCAGCAAAACGAACUACGACUGCGACGGCGACGGCGACGCCAACGGCGACUGAGGCAGCGUGUCGACGUCAAUGGGCACCCAACAAGUUAGCUUAGCUAGGAGCGCCAGCGUCGCUCUGCUGCUGCGACAGCGCGAGUAGCGGCUCGCGAGUGUCGACGCCAAUGUCUUCUAUGCGCUCUGCUUCGCCCGCUCAGCCAACGUCCGUUCGUGCGCUGUGCGCUCAGAUUGCAUUUAACUCUUGCCGCGUGCACAACGAACGAAGCGCGAUAACAAACGGAAAAACGGCCGCCUCGCGUUGGCUGGGGAGUUCCGCUCUCUUGCUCUCUCUCUCUCUCGCUCGCUCUCCUGGGCGCUCGCGUGCUUAGCUUUUUGUGUGUUUCGUUGAUUGUUUUGUUUUGUUUAUUCGCUUUUGGCUUUUGGAAAAUGCAAAAGACGCGAACUGCAGCUGCAUCAACGUUCAAUUUCGUUUCGGGUUUUCCUCUUUGUGUGCACAACAAUGCAUCGAAAAGUGCCCAAUAAAUUAUAAAAAUGUGAAAAAGAGAGAACUGAAUUACGUACUCAACAUAUCAAAUAAAAACC